rnacentral:lncRNA from 1 species
AGUCACAGGCGCAUUUAUUAUUGUCUGGAACAUCAAGGCCUUUCCUCCCCUGGCAGUGGCACAAGGGAGGGCCAACUCUCAGGAGGCGGCCACGCUGCCACCAGCAGCAGGCCCAUGGGGUGGCAGGGUCAUGGGCGGCAGAAACAGCGCCUUCAGCUUGCCUGACAGGCUGGCGAUCUCAGGAUCCUGGGCUUCGUAGGACUUGACCAAGCGAGCAAACUUAAGGACACCUGCAAGAGGGAGUGGAAGGUCAACCCUUCUCCUAAGGACCAGCGUGCCUAAGACACCUGGAGGGGGUGGUAGUCUAAGCAUGAACUGCUCCCCCACUGGCUGGGCAGCUGUUUGCCAAACAGGACGCAUGCAGGCCUCUGUCCCGUGUGGUUUGGAUGAUGACAUUUGGUCUACACUGGGCACAACUAGAUGGGAUGCAGUGAAUGAAAAUGUCCCAAGGCAGUGUGCUUCUUGCUCUCAGGUGAACCAUUUUAGCAGUUUAGUCACUGGAACCCCAAGAAUGAACACGAGACCCCAGGUCUGUAGCUGGAACUCAGGAAGGCUAUGAGGCAGCAGAGCUGAAUCAGUCAACACCUUUGGGGAACACCAGGAUCUCACCAAAAAUUUAACCACCAACCCCCCCCAAACAAAAAUUAGCUGAAACACCCUGGAGAGACUGCAGCCACUGCUGUCAUGCAGACAUGUCACUAAAAGGUGGCACAACAGCAUUUAAGUCCAGCUCUGCUACUCGAGAGUCUGCACCAUUAGAGUUUGCUUCCUCAUCACAAAAUGGAAUAAUAAUGUGAUUAACAGUACAGGUUGACCAUCCUUAAUUAGAAAAUCCAAAAUCUGAAAUUAUGAGUGCCAGUGUGAGGCCGAAAAUGGAAAAUUCCACACCUGACUUCAUAGUGGGGGGUGGGGGAGACUGUAGUCAAAACGCAGUCAAAACUUUGUCUCAUGCACAAAAUUAUUCAGACUAUUAUAUAAAAUUACCCUCAGGCUAUGUGCAUAAGGUGCGUGUAUAUGAAACAAAACAAUUUCGUGUUCAGAUUUAGGUCCCAUCCCCCAAGAUAUCCAUGUAUAUGUAAAUAUUCCGAAAUCUGAAAAAACCCGAAACACUUCCGGUCCCAACCAUUUCGGGUAAGGGAUACAGAACCUCUACUGUACAAAACGCAACUCGGACGCACAAGCUCAGGGUAGACCCUGGGCUCUGAGUGCCAAGAAUGUUAGUCAGAUUGUGGCUGCCGCCGUGUGGCGAGAAAGGGGACAACCGCUCAUGGGCCCACAGAUCCGGCGCCCUCUCCCGACCCAACUCCCGCCUUCCCGCGUCUGACCCGCCUUCCCGCGUCUGACCCACCUUCCCCGUCGCAGCUGAAGCCAUAGGCUUUGAUAACCUCCUGCUGGAUCUGCGUGGCCACGGGCAGCACGAAUUGCAGCAUCUUACCCAUGUCGUUGCAGGCGUUAUCCCGAGCCUCGUCCAUGCGCACUGCAUUCUCCGGGGCGGAGAACGCCUGGAUCACCUCCGCGAGGACCACUGCGCGCCAGAAGCAUCCCAGGGAGGCGUCCCGGGUAGGCGUCGGAGAACAGACAGCGGGCCCAGCGGAGAGCGCAAGGAAUUAGUGGAUUGAGGCUGUAGGUAACCCAAUAAGAUCCCAAGUCUUGGGGGCAAGCGCCCCACUUAGAAGGACGGUACCCGGCGUCCCCUACCCCAUUUUCCCGGCGGACGUAGCCAGGUUUGUCGCCCCACAUCCUCCGCCCGCAUCCUCCCCAGACCAGCAGCCCAUGCCUUGACUACCCCAGGCCAGCAGCCUAUGCCUUGACUAGGACGAUUCUCACCCUUUGCUUGCUCAGCGCUCAAGGCCGCCGGUUGGGUCGAGGCGGACGCCAUAGGGCGUCUGAAGCUCUAGGUUCAGCGGAGGUAAAUGGAAAACUCACGAAUAAAGAGCCACGUCCUACAACCGUUCCCAACGCCCCUGGGAGCGGAAAGGAAACAGCAUCCGGCGCAGCCGGAAGCGCCCAGGCGUGGCCCAAACCUUCAUACCCCAAGCUUACAACUGCAUCAAGACCACCAAAACUACCCAUAAUUUUUGCACAGUGAAAACAAUCUAUCAUUGGCAACAAACAUCAUAAGAGGGGCUUUCCGGUAAAAAGCCAGAAAGCCUACUAGACAAAUUCUAAAAGAGCUGUAACACUGCUGCGUAUGUGUUUGGAGAGAAGAUGGGAUAUAAAGGAACUCCACAAUUGAUGAGGGUGAGCUUAGGUGACUUUUUUCUUGUUCCUAUUACUGUAUAAACAACGACGCAUGUGGUAACUUUCAGUAGGAAAAAUAAUAUUCUAAGGAACUUACUUAAGUCAUUCAUUUCUAGAGUUCGCGAACAUUUGUUCUCAGCCCAUGCAAAUGAGUUCGGUGCUGAUUGGUUGAGAAAGCAGCCAGUCACAGCCCCUUCGUUGUUGUUAAGCCCGGAGACCUGGAUUCGGCAGUAAAGGCCCAGAGCAAAAGCCGUUGUCGCAGUUUCCUAAAGGCCUUGUCUAUUGAUGAGCGAUGGAGCCUAAUGCCCGGCCCGAUUUCCCUUCCCUUCCAGGCUUUUAUCACCCACUCCCUUCUCAAACUGUAGGUGGUUAAGGAUGCCAGGUACUAAUCGCCUGGACCUAUUAAAACUAGCCCACCCCACCCCCGCUUCAUAACCGGCUUUGUUUUUUGUUUUUGAGACGGAGUCUUGCUCUGUCGCCAAGCUGGAGUGCAGCUGGGGGGGAUCUUGGCUCACCAUAACCUCCACCUCCCGGGUUCAAGCGAUUCUCCUGCCUCAACCUCCCAAGUCGCUGGGACGACAGGCGCGCGCCACCAUGCCCAGCUAAUGUUUUGUUUUUAGUAGAGACAGGGUUUUGCCAUGUUGGCCAAGCUGGUCUGGAACUCCUGACCUCGUGAUCCGCCCGCCUCGGCCUCCCAAAGUCCUGGGAUUACCAGCGUGAGCCGUCGCGCCUGGCCUCAUAACCGUUUCUUAAAGUAUUCCACGGAAAGGUUUCAGGACUCUGAAGCCCUUGUUCCGGAGGACUCUGGUGGCUCCUAGCAGUGAGACCCGUCUGAAUAGAUUCCUAGAACUGACCACGUCAGAGGUGGGCCUGUCCCAGGCCUCUAGUGUUUGGUUGGUUGGGGUGUCUUUUGUUUGUUUGUUUUGAGAUAGGGCCUUGCUCUGUCACCCAGGCUAGAGUGCAGUGGUGCGAUCAUGACUCACUGUAGCCUCGACCCCCAAGUGAUCCUCCCACCUCAGCCUCCUGAGUAGCUGGGACCACAAGUGCACCACAACCCCCAGCUGAUUUUGUCUUAAGAUGGGGUUUCUCUAUGUUGCCCAAGCUGGUUUCCAACUCCUGGGCUCAAGCAAUCCACCCGCGUCUCACAGGCAUAAGCCACAGAGCCCAGACCGAGGCCUCCACUGGCGCGCAGCGGUCCUGCCCAGCCUUGGGGCAGGAGGGGGCACCAGCACCCAUGGUACCGCCUCCAGCUGAGUCAAGGCUCUGGGCUCUUCAGGGAUCCCCUCUCCAAUUCUUCCCAGCCCCCACACCCCGUUCCUUAAGAAGGUCUGGUCUCUUCCCGCUUCCCUGCCAGGCCCUGGCUGCAGUUCUCUCUAAGCACCGCUGCACUGAGACCCAGCCUCACCCCCAUAUCCCGCAAAGAAUAGUCACAGCCAUGUUCCUGGGGAGUUGUGAGGAUGUUUUUGUUUGGUUGGUUUUGGUUGGGAUGUUUUUUUAAGAGCGUCAUAUAGAUAUUUAUAUAUAUAAAUUAUUAGUGUGGGGAAGGGGCAAGGGGCAUACAUUGCAGAGGGGGCGCGCACACAGGGAUCGGGGAGGGGCAGGGGUGGCACACGAUGCUACGCAAAACAGCCACAUCUAACAGAUGAAAUAAUCACACCAACGGGGCAGGGGAGGGGCGGCGGCCACAGGGGUUGGGCAUGGGGGAGGAGAAAAGCAGGGGGGACAAGGAAGAGAGACCUGGUCCAAGAUUCUGUGCGCUUUCUGUCCCCAUCCUCGCCACCUCCCCACCUCUGCACACCACAUCGGGCCUUGGCCUUCUGUCUGUCCCUCCCUCCCCCACUCUCUGUCCAGCUGCGGAGGCCCUGCAACUGAGCAGCACCCUCUUGGCUCUGGGUGGCAGGCCAAGGGCACGGUGGGGGGAGGGUGGGGGUGCUCCAAGGUCCAAUGUAGGAGCCAUGGUGCUCUCUUGAUCGCAGGUUCUACAGUGGCUUGUCGCUUUCCUUCUUCAGGUGACUAGGGAAGGGGCAGUGCAUAGCAGAGAGGUAAGAGACUUGAGACCAACUCUGACCUUGCCCCCUCUUACCGAAGGGGUUGGGAGAGGAGGGGUUCCCUCCCCCAGGAGCACGGUGCCCAGCCGUACCAUGCCCACAGCUCCUCCCAGGCUCGCUGAGCCCAUGUCCCCUGGGCUGGGGCACCCUAGGGUACCUGUAGUAGUCCUCCUGGGCAGGCAGCGGCACACUGUGCAGCGGGUGAUGGGCAUGCAGCCACUGCUGCUGUUCCAGCGCCAAGCGCUGCAGCUCAGCUGACUGUGCGUGCAUGGCCUGCAGCUGAUGAGCUGCUGACAUCGGGGCAGAAAGGGAGGCCGGCAGGUCCCGGUAAGGGGCAGCUGUGAGCAGGAAGGGCAAGGGGCAUAUGACCAACGGAUAACAAGUACCUGCUCUGGACCAGGGGAUAGCCAGCUCCUUUACAUACAAAGGUAAUGAACUAAAAAGUGAGGUAACACACCCAGUUCUGUAAGUUGCCAGUGGUAGGGUGGAAUUGGGAUUCGAACCUCUUAGGCUGACACUAAAAC